rnacentral:rRNA from 1 species
UUAUAUGCUUGUCUCAAAGACUAAGCCAUGCAUGUCUCAGUGCAAGCUAAAAUAAAGUGAAACCGCGAAUGGCUCAUUAUAUCAGUUAUGGUUCCUUGGACGGUAGUUCAUCUUACAUGGAUAACUGUGGUAAUUCUAGAGCUAAUACAUGCAACUAGGUCCCGAACCCCGGAAGGGUAGUAAGGGCGCUUUUAUUAGAUCAAAACCGAUGGCCGGCCGCACAAAAAAGGUCGGUGGUUCCUGGUGACUCUGAAUAAUACCGGAAGAUCGCACGGUCUCGAACCGGCGACGCAUCUUUCAAAUGUCUGCCUUAUCAACUGUCGACGGUAGGUUCCUUGCCUACCAUGGUCGUAACGGGUAACGGGGAAUCAGGGUUCGAUUCCGGAGAGGGGGCCUGAGAAACAGCCACCACAUCCAAGGAAGGCAGCAGGCGCGCAAAUUACCCACUCCCGGCACGGGGAGGUAGUGACGAAAAAUAACGAUACGGGACUCAUCCGAGGCCCCGUAAUCGGAAUGAGAACACUCUAAACACUUUAGCGACUAGCUACCGGAGGGCAAGUCUGGUGCCAGCAGCUGCGGUAAUUCCAGCUCCGGUAGCGUAUAUUAAAGUUGCUGCGGUUAAAAAGCUCGUAGUCGGACUUGUGUCGCACGCUGUCGGUUCACCGCCCCAGUCGGUGUUCAACUGGCAUGCUUCGUGUCGACGUCCUGCCGGCUGGCCCGACCCGAUCCGAUGAAGGUGAGGGAACCGCAAAAAAGGGGCACGCAGAGGUGUCCGGUCGGUCACAUCGGGCGAGGCGUUUCCCCGUUUCGUUUUUCGCCGGUGAGGGGGCGAGCAACUUUCCGCCUACCUUCCAGGCUCUUCCCGUAGAGAACACGGUCGAGGGGAAACUGAAGCCGGCUGCGGCCGGCCCACCUCGAUCGCAGUGGUUUCGGGUCGAUGACUCUGGGGGGAGGUCUAGGCGUUAAGCUUUUUGCGUUCGCAGCUCCUUCGCUGAGCCGGUGGAAAAAACGUACGAGGCGCUUAAAGAUUCGUCCGAAGCCUUUCCGGGCUCUCGUCGCCCCGGGGUUCCCGCCGGCACGGGUCUAUCCGAAAAAAAGGGAAGGGCCUACCUUAACCCGUUUCGGUGCUCUUAGCCGAGUGUCUUGACGGGCCGGCACGUUUACUUUGAACAAAUUAGAGUGCUUAAAGCAGGCUAGCCCGCCGCUUGAAUACCCAGUGCAUGGAAUAAUGGAAUAGGACCUCGGUUCUAUUUUCUGUUGGUUUUCGGAAUCCCGAGGUAAUGAUCAACAGGGACAGGYGGGGGCAUUCGUAUUGCGACGUUAGAGGUGAAAAUUCUUGGAUCGUCGCAAGACGGACCUAAGCGAAAGCAUUUGCCAAGGAUGUUUUCUCUGAUCAAGAACGAAAGUUAGAUGAUCGAAGGCGAUCAGAUACCGCCCUAGUUCUAACCUUAAACGAUGCCACCUAGCAAUCCGCCGAAGUUCCUCCGAUGACUCGGCGGGCGGCUUAAGGGAAACCAAAGGCUUUGGGUUCCGGGGGAAGUAUGGUUGCAAAGCUGAAACUUAAAGGAAUUGACGGAAGGGCACCACAAGGAGUGGAGCCUGCGGCUUAAUUUGACUCAACACGGCAAAACUCACCAGGCCCGGACACCGGUAGGAUUGACAGAUUGAGAGCUCUUUCUUGAUUCGGUGGAUGGUGGUGCAUGGCCGUUCUUAGUUCGUGGGGCGACUCGUCUGGUUAAUUCCGAUAACGAACGAGACUCUGUCCUGCUAACUAGUCGGUCCGUAAUAAUAAUCGCUUACGGCGAUAAAGGAAAUCUUCUUAGAGGGAUAGGCGGCUUCUAGUCGCAUGAGAAAGGGCGAAAACAGGUCUGUGAUGCCCUUAGAUGUCCUGGGCCGCACGCGCGCUACACUGAAGGAGUCAGCGUGUCCUCCCUGGCCGAGAGGUCCGGGUAACCCGUUGAACUUCCUUCGUGCUAGGGAUCGGGGCUUGAAAUUGUUCCCCGCGAACGAGGAAUUCCUAGUAAGCGGGAGUCAUAAGCUUCCGUUGAUUAGGUCCCUGCCCUUUGUACACACCGCCCGUCGCCACUACCGAUUGAAUGAGUUACUGAGGGCUUUGGAGAGGGCGAUCGUGGUCGUUUGCGCGUCCUCGGAUCGGUUCCCUCGAAGAUGUCCGAACUUGCUCAUUUAGAGGAAGUGAAAGUCGUAACAAGGUUAUC